rnacentral:snoRNA from 1 species
UAAUAACCAGGUUAGGGCUUGGGAGCUGAACAGUGCUGGCUGCCUGCCAGGCCUUCACAAACGCAGGUGUGUGCUCUGUGAGGCAAGUUUCCCAAAAGGCCACAAGGUCAUCUAGCCCAGGGGGUGGAAUGUGACUUCAGUCCUGGCUACAGAG